UACGUAGGGUGCGAGCGUUGUCCGGAAUUAUUGGGCGUAAAGAGCUCGUAGGCGGUUUGUUGCGUCUAUCGUGAAAACCUGCAGCUUAACUGUGGGCUUGCGGUGGAUACGGGCAGACUUGAGUUCGGUAGGGGAAACUGGAAUUCCUGGUGUAGCGGUGAAAUGCGCAGAUAUCAGGAGGAACACCGGUGGCGAAGGCGGGUCUCUGGGCCGAUACUGACGCUGAGGAGCGAAAGCGUGGGGAGCGAACAGG
rnacentral:rRNA from 1 species